CAGGCCUAACACAUGCAAGUCGAGCGAGAAGCCACUUUCGGGUGGUGGGCAGCGGCGGACGGGUGAGUAACGCGUGGGAAGAUACCCAAAGGUACGGAACAACCACUGGAAACGGUGGCUAAUACCGUAUGUGCCCUACGGGGGAAAGAUUUAUUGCCUUUGGAUUUGCCCGCGUAUGAUUAGAUAGUUGGUGGGGUAAUGGCCUACCAAGUCGACGAUCAUUAGCUGGUCUGAGAGGAUGAUCAGCCACACUGGGACUGAGACACGGCCCAGACUCCUACGGGAGGCAGCAGUAGGGAAUAUUGGACAAUGGGGGAAACCCUGAUCCAGCCAUGCCGCGUGAGUGAAGAAGGCCCUAGGGUUGUAAAGCUCUUUCAUUGGUGAAGAUAAUGACGGUAGCCAAAUAAGAAGCCCCGGCUAACUCCGUGCCAGCAGCCGCGGUAAUACGGAGGGGGCGAGCGUUGUUCGGAUUUACUGGGCGUAAAGGGGGUCUAGGCGGAUAUACAAGUUGGGGGUGAAAUCCCGGGGCUCAACCCCGGAACUGCCUCCAAAACUGUAUAUCUAGAGUUCGAUAGAGGCAGGUGGAAUACUUAGUGUAGAGGUGAAAUUCGUAGAUAUUAAGUGGAACACCAGUGGCGAAGGCGGCCUG
rnacentral:rRNA from 1 species